rnacentral:rRNA from 1 species
GUGGGGAAUCUUGCGCAAUGGGCGAAAGCCUGACGCAGCCAUGCCGCGUGGAUGAUGAAGGUCUUAGGAUUGUAAAAUCCUUUCACCGGUGAAGAUAAUGACUGUAGCCGGAGAAGAAGCCCCGGCUAACUUCGUGCCAGCAGCCGCGGUAAUACGAAGGGGGCUAGCGUUGCUCGGAUUUACUGGGCGUAAAGGGCGCGUAGGCGGACAUUUAAGUCAGGGGUGAAAUCCCGGGGCUCAACCUCGGAACUGCCUUUGAUACUGGGUGUCUUGAGUAUGAGAGAGGUGUGUGGAACUCCGAGUGUAGAGGUGAAAUUCGUAGAUAUUCGGAAGAACACCAGUGGCGAAGGCGGCUCACUGGCUCGAUACUGACGCUGAGGUGCGAAAGCGUGGGGAGCAAACAGGAUUAGAAACCCCGGUAGUCC